rnacentral:tRNA from 1 species
AUUAAAGUGGCAGAAUUAUUGCGAGGAAUUUAAGCUUCCUUUAUGGAUUUCCCUUUAAUA